UACGAAGGGGGCUAGCGUUGCUCGGAAUCACUGGGCGUAAAGCGCACGUAGGCGGCUUCUUAAGUCAGGGGUGAAAUCCUGGAGCUCAACUCCAGAACUGCCCUUGAUACUGAGGAGCUCGAGUCCGGAAGAGGUGAGUGGAACUGCGAGUGUAGAGGUGAAAUUCGUAGAUAUUCGCAAGAACACCAGUGGCGAAGGCGACUCACUGGUCCGGUACUGACGCUGAGGUGCGAAAGCGUGGGGAGCAAACAGG
rnacentral:rRNA from 1 species